AGCUGCAAAAGUCGUGGUGGC
rnacentral:miRNA from 1 species